AAGGUAAAUGCAAGGCCUACUUAAUGGUUAAGGCCUGUAAACUUGAAUGUUCCCCUAUGACGGCGAGAGGAUUUGCAAAAUUCCCUAUCCUUUCCCCAGUCAGGAGCCAAUCAGAAGAAAAAAGGAGGCGAAGACUUCGCCGUCUGACGUUCAAAAAUGCCACCUCGUAAGGAUGGGAAGGUAGAAAGAAAAUGGGGAGGGGACUAACGUUUGACGUCUUCAGCCAAAUAAUGUGUUCUGGCCCUACGUUCCUUAUUGGCUGGACCAAAGGACGAGCGAUUUCACAGAGAAAAGUGUUACAUGUUUCCAGAUGGGGCAGAAGGAAUUCAACAAGGCCCUUCAACAUGAAAGUCGAGCUUGACAUCUGUCAAAGGCACUCCUUUACAAAUAGAAACACCAUCCACAGCCUUGACACAAACUCAACUGUGGGAUAGAGAAGGCCACCACAGUCUGUAAAAAACAAUAGAGGAAAUGUUGUUUAAGUUUUGAAAUAAUAUUGAGUAGUGCCCUCUCUCUUCUCAGCAAUUGAAGUAAAUUUGCAUGUCUUAAUUUUUUUUUGUUUAUCGGAAUUCAUAAAUGACAGGGUUUUUUCUUCCGCACGGCCACCUACUUCAUCUGAUUGCCAACUUGAUAAGUCUUCCCAGUCAUUGCGAGAGUAAAAUCGUCUUGUGAUUGAGGGACGGAUUUGCCUUGCCCUUGGACGACCUUGCUUUGCAGUUACUUCACUCGGCGGAAUGGUUGUAGCUUCCAUUUCACUUGGCGUUUAUUCUUCGGCAUACUACUGGACGUGCUCUUGGCGAAAGAGCUGCUUCAUGCGGCGGCGAUGGUAGAAGCCGACGGAUUAGUAACAGGAGGAUUCUGUCGCUGGCCGCAUUCAUAUUUGGAGUGAACGUUGCUGCUUGCUGAAUAUAUGGAAGAAGACGGCGUUUGUUUGAGUUAUUCAUCUCGGUAUCUUCAUCUGCAAGAACGAAAAGAUGAUGCGGUAAUAUUGUCGCGGGUGAAAAGGGAGAUUGGUUAUCUCUUCGCAGAGAUGAGUCAUCCGCUCCUUGGACAACGCUGCGAUCGUGGUGAAGAA